rnacentral:rRNA from 1 species
UACGUAGGGUGCAAGCGUUGUCCGGAAUUAUUGGGCGUAAAGAGCUCGUAGGCGGUCUGUCGCGUCUGCUGUGAAAAACUCGGGGCUUAACCCCGGGCCUGGCAGUGGGUACGGGGCAGACUAGAGUGCGGUAGGGGAGACUGGAAUUCCUGGUGUAGCGGUGAAAUGCGCAGAUAUCAGGAGGAACACCGGUGGCGAAGGCAGCUCGCUGGGACGCACUGACGCUGGAGACGCGAAAGCGUGGGGAGCAAACAGG